rnacentral:ncRNA from 1 species
UUAGCUAUUUUAGAUAGGGUUUGGGUUCAUCAAGAUGAAUUCAAACCAGAUUCAAGUUUUGAAUUUAUCUAUGAUGGCUAGAGUCCUUUAGUUGCGGUUAGCCACAUAGCUUUCUAAGUGGUUAAUCACAAUUGAUUAUUAAUCAAAAUAAUAACUUGUACGUCCACUUAGAAAU